rnacentral:sRNA from 1 species
AAAUAAACCCGAUUGGAGUAAAAAUACUUUUUUGAUGGUUGACGAAAAAGUUUGCCAGGUCGUUCCUCCUCGCAGUGACGAAACUGGACUAGAAGGACAAGCGUUUAAAAAAGAUUGAAACGAAAAGCGGGACUGAAA